rnacentral:rRNA from 1 species
AUUGAACGCUGGCGGCAGGCUUAACACAUGCAAGUCGAGCGGGGUGAUGGUGCUUGCACUAUCACUUAGCGGCGGACGGGUGAGUAAUGCUUAGGCAUCUGCCUAUUAGUGGGGGACAACCUCUCGAAAGGAAUGCUAAUACCGCAUACGUCCUACGGGAGAAAGCAUGGGAUCACUUGUGACCUUGCGCUAAUAGAUGAGCCUAAGUCGGAUUAGCUAGUUGGUGGGGUAAAGGCCUACCAAGGCGACGAUCUGUAGCGGGUCUGAGAGGAUGAUCCGCCACACUGGGACUGAGACACGGCCCAGACUCCUACGGGAGGCAGCAGUGGGGAAUAUUGGACAAUGGGGGGAACCCUGAUCCAGCCAUGCCGCGUGUGUGAAGAAGGCCUUAUGGUUGUAAAGCACUUUAAGCGAGGAGGAGGCUCUUUUGGUUAAUACCCAAGAUGAGUGGACGUUACUCGCAGAAUAAGCACCGGCUAACUCUGUGCCAGCCGCCGCGGUAA